rnacentral:rRNA from 1 species
GACGAACGCUGGCGGCGUGCUUAACACAUGCAAGUCGAACGGAAAGGCCCUGCUUUUGUGGGGUGCUCGAGUGGCGAACGGGUGAGUAACACGUGAGUAACCUGCCCUUGACUUUGGGAUAACUUCAGGAAACUGGGGCUAAUACCGGAUAGGAGCUCCUGCUGCAUGGUGGGGGUUGGAAAGUUUCGGCGGUUGGGGAUGGACUCGCGGCUUAUCAGCUUGUUGGUGGGGUAGUGGCUUACCAAGGCUUUGACGGGUAGCCGGCCUGAGAGGGUGACCGGCCACAUGGGGACUGAGAUAGGGCCCAGACUCCUACGGGAGGCAGCAGUGGGGAAUAUUGCACAAUGGGAGGAAGCCUGAGGCAGAAACGCCGCGUGCGGGAUGACGGCCUUCGGGUUGUAAACCGCUUUCGCCUGUGACGAAGCGUGAGUGACGGUAAUGGGUAAAGAAGCACCGGCUAACUACGUG